rnacentral:rRNA from 1 species
CCUACGGGAGGCAGCAGUGAGGAAUAUUGGACAAUGGGCGCAAGCCUGAUCCAGCCAUGCCGCGUGCAGGAAGACGCAUCUAUGGUGUGUAAACUGCUUUUGUACGGGAAGAAACACUCCCUCGUGAGGGAGCUUGACGGUACCGUAAGAAUAAGGAUCGGCUAACUCCGUGCCAGCAGCCGCGGUAAUACGGAGGAUCCAAGCGUUAUCCGGAAUCAUUGGGUUUAAAGGGUCCGUAGGCGGUUUAAUAAGUCAGUGGUGAAAGCCCAUCGCUCAACGAUGGAACGGCCAUUGAUACUGUUAGACUUGAAUUACUAGGAAGUAACUAGAAUAUGUAGUGUAGCGGUGAAAUGCUUAGAUAUUACAUGGAAUACCAAUUGCGAAGGCAGGUUACUACUAGUGGAUUGACGCUGAUGGACGAAAGCGUGGGGAGCGAACAGGAUUAGAUACCCUGGUAGUCCACGCCGUAAACGAUGGAUACUAGCUGUUGGGCGCAAGUUCAGUGGCUAAGCGAAAGUGAUAAGUAUCCCACCUGGGGAGUACGUUCGCAAGAAUGAAACUUAAAGAGUAGUGCGUGNGAGAGCGACGACGACGACGACGGAGGAGGAGG